rnacentral:tRNA from 1 species
GCUGUGGCUCAGUGGCAGAGCACUUGCCUAGCAUGCAUGAGGCACUAAGUUUAAUCCUUAGCACUGCA